rnacentral:miRNA from 1 species
UUGGGAAUUAAAAUGUAAACUU